rnacentral:rRNA from 1 species
GAUGAACGCUGGCGGCGUGCCUAAUACAUGCAAGUCGAGCGAACGGACGAGAAGCUUGCUUUUCUGAUGUUAGCGGCGGACGGGUGAGUAACACGUGGAUAACCUACCUAUAAGACUGGGAUAACUUCGGGAAACCGGAGCUAAUACCGGAUAAUAUUUUGAACCGCAUGGUUCAAAAGUGAAAGACGGUCUUGCUGUCACUUAUAGAUGGAUCCGCGCUGCAUUAGCUAGUUGGUAAGGUAACGGCUUACCAAGGCAACGAUGCAUAGCCGACCUGAGAGGGGGAACGGCCACACUGGAACUGGGACACGGUCCAGACUCCUACGGGAGGCAGCAGUAGGGAAUCUUCCGCAAUGGGCGAAAGCCUGACGGAGCAACGCCGCGUGAGUGAUGAAGGUCUUCGGAUCGUAAAACUCUGUUAUUAGGGAAGAACAUAUGUGUAAGUAACUGUGCACAUCUUGACGGUACCUAAUCAGAAAGCCACGGCUAACUACGUG